AUGUCUUUUUCAUUAUUUCCAACCCUUUUUUCUUUUCGCCCGUUAGGGCUUUCGACUCUGCACAUCCAGAAUCUCCCUCCCCAACAUCCGGCGACGGCGCCCCCUGCAGCCGGCCUCCGUCCACCGGCGUUUUCCUCCUCCCUCAGGGUGUGGCCUCUCUCUCUCUCUUUCAGUGCACCGGAGGACGGUGAAUCGUGGGAAGAUCGACGGGUUUGGGGAUUACUGCAGUGGCCAUCACACGGACCUUUGCAGACGAGAUGCAGCAGCCCCCACUCCAGAAAGCUGCACUCCGACUCUGGCACCUACUCAACCAGCGGCCGGUGGUUGUAUCUCAGACGUUCCGUUUGUUUUCCACCGCUCAAUCAAUUGCUGAUGAGCUUCUUAAGCCUGAUGAGACACCGGAACCCUUGGAGGAGCGGCUUGAUGCGUUAAAUGCUGCCCUCGACCACCAAAUGUUUGUAGACACCCUCAACCUCUCCAAUGGAGCUGGGCGGAAGGUUUUUGGGCUCUAUGAAUGGGCGGCAAAGCGGCCAGGAUUCUUGGAUGAGGUAUCCUUUGCAGCAGUAGCGGAUUUCCUUGGUCGUCGAAAAGACUUUAAGGCAGUGCGCGUCCUCCUACUUGAUCGUACCAUCCGCCGCUUUCCCAUCGGGAUGCGCACAUUCCGCAUUGUAGUUGACCGCCUUGCUCGUGCUGGUCGGCCAACACAGCUCAUUGACUUCUUCCAUGAGAUUGACAUAUUUGGGUUUGACAUCGACCGCCGAGAGGGCCUUUCAGUUGUUGUAUCGGCUCUUUGUGAUCAUGGAUUUGUCGGGCAUGCAGAGUCCCUUGUGAAGAAGACAGCUGAUCGGCUGUUCCCUGACGAUGCCAUCUGUGAGACCCUCGUGAAAGGCUGGUGCACAGCUGGGAAGCUUGUUGAGGCCAGACGACUCGCUGGAGAGGUUGCUCGUGGAGGUUUUGAGCUAGGUGCUGUGGCAUAUAAUGCCAUCCUCGACUGUGUGUGCAAGCUAUGCCGCCAAAAGGAUCCAUUCCAGCUACGUGCAGAGGCAGACACGGUGCUUGUGGAGAUGGAGACUGCUGGGGUUCCUCGAGACUCGGGUACUUUCCAAAUCCUAAUCUCAAACCUCUGCAAGAUCCGCAAGACGCAAGAUGCCUUGGAGAUCUUCAAAAGGAUGCCGGAGUGGUCAUGCUUGCCAGAUUCUGAUACGUUCCUCGCCCUUGUAAAGAGCCUCUACCAGGCAGCAAGGGUUGCAGAGGGAGACGAGAUGCUAGACUCCAUGAAAUUGGCGGGGUUUCAGUUGACUAUCAAAGACUACUAUGGCUUCAUCCGUAUUUUGUGUGGCAUCGAGCGUGUGGAGCAUGCAAUGAAUGUAUUUGCAAGGAUGAAAGAGGAGGGAUUCAAGCCAGGCACACAAACGUAUGAGCUCUUGAUUGCGAGAUUGUAUGCCCACGGGAAGGUGGAGGCAGCAAAUUCUCUGUACCAAGAAGCAGUGGACAAAGGGGUGACAAUCAACAAUCGGGAGUAUAAAAUUGAACCAAGGUUUGUGAAGGAAGAGAAAAAGAAGAAGAAGAAAGCAAAGAGGGAAACUUUGCCGAUGAAAAUGGAGAGAAAGAGGAAGCGGCUGAGGAAGCUGAGAUUGAGCUUCGUCAAGAAACCCAAGAAGUUCAUGCGACGGGCUUAUUGAUGCAGCUUGGAAGUUGGUGUUACUUUUUGAAAUCCAUGGCAUCAAACUGCUUCUUUGUUGUGGGUUCUUCCGACACUCAUUUUGUUGUGUUAAAGAUUCUCAAUUGGAGAUAGUUUCAUGUCAAUGCCAAGAAAGAGCCACUGAAAGCAAUGAAAAAGUAAAGGGUCUUGAUUGUGCUCGAGGACAAGUUUAUGGUUGGUCUCUGACUCGUCACCCUUUAUCAGAGGACUUGAAUUCUGUGAUAGUUUCCUGAUCAGACAGAGAUGAUUAACACUGAUAAAAAAAUUGAAUCUGCAAAUUGAUUACUAUAACAAAAAUGACAUUUACCAAUGUGGAUUGUGUUACUAAAUGCCGUUACUAACAGUCUGCAUUGCAGUGCUGCCGGAAGCCACAUUACUGAAACUUUUAUUCUGCUACUAACAAAAUGCUUCUGUGUUACUAUUGAUAAUAGUGCAUUUCCUGUGUGUAACCCAGGCCUUGAUGUGAUCAGGAUGUCACAACCACAAGUAAGAUCAAAGCCCCAAUCUUUGUACCAGCAAGCAAAGGUCUUUAUUGAGCAUAUUUUGCAACUGUAUACUCUUUCUUUCCUUAGCAGCCAAAAAACUACAAGUGAAUACUUAUGGAUGGCAUCAUGUAUCCAAUAUUAAGAACUUGUAACCAGUAUGCACACUUGAGUAAUUUUCCUCAGAAGCAAUGACCUAAAUGUGUCCCUCUUCUGAAAUCGUCUUUAUUAAAUAUUCACAGUACUUCAUUUGCUGCAUCUUCCCACCUAGAAAUUGCAAUUUAAGCUACAUAGUGCUACAAAGAAGAUACUAAUCCUUCAUAAAGGACACUGUACCUUGACGAUUAACUGCAAUAUUGAACACUUCUAACAUGAGUAAGCUCAUUGCAGAAUGGUGCAUGUGUUUUUUGCACUUUGGCAGCUGCAUAAUCAUUUCAAAGGCUUCGACAAGCAGUGCUACUUUCUUUUCUGUAGCAGGAGCCAACUUUGGAUGAGUUUCAUCCUCUACAAUGUUAAAUUGGAUGAAUUUGAUUUCCUGUUGCAUAAGGUUGUCAUCUUCUGUGAUUGUUUCAUCCUUUGCUUCAGGGACCAAGAGUGGAGAGGGAUAGUUUUCUGCUUCAAGAAGUUAACUAGGAUGUUCAAUACGAACCAAAGUGAAGGUGCCGAAUUAUAAAGCAACAGUUGAGCGUGUGCUACAGGGGACCAACUUGCUGUUAGGUGUCAAUCGAACGUCGGGGAGAGAGAGAGAGAGAGAGCAGUUGCAUCACAAUUGAAUGCAAAAAUAGUUCCAAGAAAUUGCAAUUAAAUUACAAGCAGGAUGAAAAACAAAUAACACAAGCAAAUAACACUGCUAAGUAGAGUUUAGUAUAUCAUGGUAAUAACUGGACAUUCUAGCUGAAGAUGCUAAUUGCAGCAUAUGUAUAUAGACAUAUAUAUGUGUGUGUGUACGAUUUAUGCUUUCUGACUUCAGCUGAUCAGCAGGCAGUUGGUCAGCCAAUCUGGGCUGUCUGAUUGCCUAUGAAACAUGGGUACGGCUAAAAAGGCCAAGUACUCGUGUCGACACGAUUGUGGGCUUCGACAUGGCAGCCUUAAUUUUUUUUUUUUUUGGGGUAUAUUUUAGUAUGUUUGUACCUUUUGCAUAUAUUUUAGUAUUUUUUUUUGUUCAGUGAUAUAUUUUCAUAAAUAUACGCAAUGAAUUUAUGUGUACCUGCUGCACCCAUACCUAUGUGGCAUGGCUGAUCGUCCUUUUAAGAGAGAUUGAAAGAGUUUAUGUAUAUGUCUUUGUGUGUGUGUGUGCAGAGGGGGGGGGGGGAGAGAGAUUUCUUUUACAGGUACUUAGUAUUUAGGUAUAUCAAGUGGCUGCUAAAGUAUACAUGUAUGUCAUUACAGCUUAAUUAUUGAUGAUGUGUGUGUAAUCUUCUACUGAUUUCCACCAGCUUUAUUGAGAAAAAGAAUGUCUUAGACGUGUGUAACCCCAAGGAUGUUAUAAUCAUGGGAUCACUAAGAAAGCUGUACUGCUUGCCUAUGUAACCUGGAGUUUUGUGGCCCAUGCCAACCGGUUCAUUCUUCCACCAUAUUGUUGCAUGUCUACUGGACCUGGAACUUGAAACAUAUAAUAGUCUUGAAAGCCAGUUGUGCAACUAGUUAUUAUUCUCAUCACUCAUUGUCUGAUCAGCUUUCUCUUUGCAGAACACUGAUGCAGAAGAGACAUGCACAUGAACAUACUUGUGUGCUUAAAUAUUACCUAUAUAUUACUUGUUUUGAGUGUUUUAUCAACUUUAUCUCGCCGGGACUUAUUCAGGCUGUGUAGCGUUAGAUGGAGACCAGACAAAUGUCCAAGCAUUCAAGAGAUUAUUCUUGUUGCACAGUCUGGUAAGCUUUCUCUUUGCUGAACAUUGAUGGCAGAAGACAUGCACGGAACAUACUCUUGUGGUCAUAUAUUGCUUAUUUUUUAAUUGAGAGUGCAAUCCUUUUGUAAUUUGAUCCUCCUUUUCUGCUGUUUGUAGUUUGUACGGAGAUCAAGCAAUGGUUGGUGUUGCGGAUGCUUUUCUCGCUUAUGGUUUUGGCAAGGAAAUUUUUAUUUCCACUCAAAACUUUUCCUAUUCACUUUCAACUGGAAAUUUUUCUGCAAUGUGUUUGCAGAAAAUCCUUUUCCAGGCCAUCAAGCGGCCUUUACCAAGUCAUGGACUUGCUCGGGUUGUGCAGUUCAGGAAGGUAUCGCCGUUUUCAGCCCAUUAGCAGCGACUUGGUGUUCUUCCAUUUUCAGCAUAUCAGCAACUUGAUGUCGCCAUUUUCAGCCCAUUUGCAGUUAAUGGCCAAAUGUCUAGGGCACUGUUGCUUGUAGUGUUACAUAUUGGAGGAGCAUAUCACAUGAAUAUCAAAAUAUGCUAUUGCUUGUAAGUGCUUGGCUAGGAUGUAGAAGUAUAUGAAGAUACAUAAUUUUAAGAAACGGGAACCGUGGGAAGAUGUUCCCUUCAUUAUAGUCGGUUUAUCAAAUGUU